rnacentral:lncRNA from 1 species
UCUGUUUUUAGGUUCAGUAGGCUGAAUGAUCUCCCACAGACGUUAGAUAAUACAUUCAUUACAAGUGAAUAAUCUCUAUUGAGAGAGAGGGGGGGGAAGGGAGAUGAAUGGCUUAUAACAAUACACAUUGUUCUGACACUGUAACGUACCACAUGCUUUCUCCCCCGUCUCUGUCCUCCAGGAGGUCACCUCCAUAACUGACUAUAUGCCCCCCGUCUCUUUCCUCCAGGAGGUCAACUCCAUAACUGACUAUAUGCCCCCCCCCCGUCUCUUUCCUCCAGGAGGUCACCUCCAUAACUGACUAUAUGCCCCCCCCGUCUCUUUCCUCCAGGAGGUCACCUCCAUAACUGACUAUAUGCCCCCCCCCCC